rnacentral:rRNA from 1 species
AACGGAUAGGAAUCCUUAGUGGCGGACGGGUGAGUAACGCGUGAGGAACCUGCCUUGGAGAGGGGAAUAACACAGAGAAAUUUGUGCUAAUACCGCAUGAUGCAGUUGGGUCGCAUGGCUCUGACUGCCAAAGAUUUAUCGCUCUGAGAUGGCCUCGCGUCUGAUUAGCUAGUUGGUAGGGUAACGGCCUACCAAGGCGACGAUCAGUAGCCGGACUGAGAGGUUGACCGGCCACAUUGGGACUGAGACACGGCCCAGACUCC